rnacentral:piRNA from 1 species
UAUGCUUCGGACCAAGGGCUUGAGCCUUGAC